UCCGUAGGUGAACCUGCGGAAGGAUCAUUAAAAAUGUGGACCCUCACCUGGGCCCAGCCUUGUAAUGGGCUCUAAACACGUAAUGCCGGAAGUUCGACGGUCUCACGCUGAGUAGAUUCGUAUUCAUCUCGUAAAGCUCUCGGAAGCAACCCUUUAGUCUAGCCACCAGUCAAGAUCACCCCCUAUGGGGCCGUGAGGUCAGUCCCCCCGGUAGUAAUACCGAUACUGGGCCAAUCCGAACUUUUCUGGGAUGGAUCAGUCUGCGUGGAAGCUCGGAAGGAACCCUAGUCUAGCAACCAGAGAUCACAGGUGAGGCCCCGCUAUGGGGUGUCACUGUGAGGUCAGUCCCCCCGGUAGUAAUACCGAUACUGGGCCAAUCCGAGCUUCCCUGUGUGAAGAUCAUUCCGGUACUCGUUACUUCAAACCACUGUGAACCUCCCCGUUGCUUCGACGGCUUGCCUCGUGCUGUAAGCCCGUCUGAGGCCCACCGAAACCACUUCUGUAAACUUAUGUCAUUAUACGAAAAGUAAAUCGUUAAAACUUUCAACAACGGAUCUCUUGGUUCUCGCAUCGAUGAAGAACGCAGCGAAACGCGAUAGGUAAUGUGAAUUGCAGAAUUCAGUGAAUCAUCGAAUCUUUGAACGCACAUUGCGCCUCCUGGUAUUCCGGGGGGCAUGUCUGUUUGAGCGUCAGUACCCACUCUUUCGAAAACUUCUUUUUUCGUCAGGUCUUGGAGGACACACUUGUCCUCUCAAUGUAGACGCUUGCGAACCCGAUACCGAUCACGACGUAGUAAUUUCAAUUCGUCUUGUCAAGUUGAAGGCCGCCUGAACACCAAACUUUGUAGUUUGACCUCAGAUCAGACAAGGAUACCCGCUGAACUUAAGCAUAUCAAUAAGCGGAGGA
rnacentral:rRNA from 1 species